rnacentral:rRNA from 1 species
AUCCAAGGAAGGCAGCAGGCGCGCAAAUUACCCACUCCCGGCACGGGGAGGUAGUGACGAAAAAUAACGAUACGGGACUCUUUUGAGACCCCGUAAUCGGAAUGAGUACACUCCAAACCCUUUAACGAGGACCCAUCGGAGGGAAAGUCUGGUGCCAGCCGCCGCGGUAAUUCCAGCUCCGAUAGCGUAUAUUAAAGUUGUUGCGGUUAAAAAGCUCGUAGUUGGAUCUCAGUUCCAGACGGGCGGUCCGUCUUACGGCGGCAACUGCCCGUUCUGAACAGCCCGCCGGUUUCUCUUGAUGAUCUUCACCGGUUGUCUCGGGGGACCGGCAAGUUUACUUUGAAAAAAUUAGAGUGCUCAAAGCAGGCGCGACGCCUGGACAAUGGUGCAUGGAAUAAUGGAAUAGGACCCCGGUUCUAUUUUGUUGGUUUCCGGAACACGGGGUAAUGAUUAAGAGGGACAGACGGGGGCAUUCGUAUUGCGACGCUAGAGGUGAAAUUCUUGGACCGUCGCAAGACGAACUACUGCGAAAGCAUUUGCCAAGAAUGUUUCCAUUAAUCAAGAACGAAAGUUAGAGGUUCGAAGGCGAUCAGAUACCGCCCUAGUUCUAACCAUAAACGAUGCCAGCCAGCGAUCCGGCUGCGUUCCUCAAACGACGCGCCGGGCAGCUUCCGGGAAACCAAAGCCUUUGGGUUCCGGGGGAAGUAUGGUUGCAAAGCUGAAACUUAAAGGAAUUGACGGAAGGGCACCACCAGGAAUGGAGCAUGCGGCUUAAUUUGACUCAACACGGGGAAACUUACCCGGCCCGGACACAGGAAGGAUUGACAGAUUGAGAGCUCUUUCUUGAUUCUGUGGGAGGUGGUGCAUGGCCGUUCUUAGUUGGUGGCGCGAGUUGUCUGGUUUAUUCCGAUAACGAACGAGACUCUAGCCUGCUAAAUAGGCGCCCCGGUCCUCUGGGCCGGACGUUCUUCUUAGAGGGACGGGCGGCGUCCAGCCGCACGAGACAGAGCAAUAACAGGUCUGUAAUGCCCUUUGAUGUUCGGGGCCGCACGCGCGCUACAUUGAGGGAUCCAGCGUGUGCUUUCCCGGUCCGAGGGGAUCGGGCAACCCGCUGAACCUCCCUCGUGCUGGGGAUAGGGGAUUGUAACUGUCCCCCUUGAACGAGGAAUUCCCAGUAAGCGCGAGUCAUAAGCUCGCGUUGAUUACGUCCCUGCCCUUUGUCCACACCGCCCGUCGCUAUUACCGAUUGAAUGAUUUAGUGAGGUCUUCGGACUGGCGCCCGGAGGGGACCCUCGUGGGGCCGCACCGACGUGCCGGAAAGAUGCCCGAACUUGAUCAUUUAGAGGAAAUAAA